rnacentral:lncRNA from 1 species
CAAACAGGGCAAGAGCUUGCAUGUAUACCAAUGCUUAAUCAAACUGAGGCUACCUACAUAAUAUUAUGGAUAUUCUAUAGUAAGACUUCCUAUUAUUUAUACACCUUUAAUCCUUUCUUGACUUAAAAAGGGUCUUAUAUUACAGGAAGAAUUAGGCACCAAUAACCAGAGAGCUAAGUGUACUUAAAAGGCUACUGGCUCAGCAUCCUUACCAAAGAAAGUGAAUGAUUAAAUGGGCAUAUAUUUCCGUCGAGAAGGGUGAUCUUAAUCAUAUCACAGAAAAGGUCAAUUGGACAAUUUUAUGCUGUCUUAGAGAGGAGGGUAGUUUGAGCUACAAAAACUAGAAAUCAGGACCUGAAACAGCUGCUAUUUUAAGAUGAUUUGGAGGACAUGCUGCGUGAACGAUGUCCUAUGGUCUAUGGAUAAAAAUGGGUAAGAUGAGAUCUUAUUGGUACCAGUUAAUAAAAAACUUCAGAAAAAUACUGUAAUCUCAUGAAUGUUCCUGGGGUUGUAGAACCCACUGACAAUGAGUCUAUUUUUUUCCUGAUCAGUCCCACUGCAUAUGAGACUGCAGUUCAAGUUUCCGCUUGACAACUUGAUGGAAGAGCCACUUCUUUCGGGUUUGAUCUCUCAUUGCCUAUUGGCGUAAUAAACAUAAAGCAGUCACCUCAGGCCUAGUUACAGAUAUGCAUAGGCUUUUUUACUAUAUCACUGGCUAAUGUGAUUAUUGCCAGGUGAAGUUGGAAAUGUCACAAGGAAAUGAGUAAUUUUAGGGAUGGACCUGAAUUUUUUAACCUAAAGCUGAACACUUGUAUGAAGUUAGAUCUGUUUCUCUUAAACCUUGUCAGUAUUCAAAGUUCAGAUAUUCGGUAGCCUGCCAUGGGGAGCUCUCUGUUGCAAGCAGACUAAAGAAGCAAAGGGGCAAUUCACAGCUAAACAUAUGUGUGUUAUACUGGAGUAUUCAGCAUAGAGCAAUUAACAAGAAGUUUAAGAUAUACUUUUUCAGCUUAUUGGUUCUGAACCGUACAUAAGCUAAUGUUAUGAGUUAUCCAAAACAGUCGAAUGACUUUUCUUACUCUUCACGGAAAUAGUUUCUAGUUCUGCCCAGUGCCCAUCACUAUAGUAAUCAUGAGGUAUAAGUUGUUGGAAAAAUGAUUCUAGUAUCUCAAAAAGACUUGUUUAUAUUAUUGUCUAAGGUUUAUUCAUUCAUUCCUUAUUAAAGAGUAUGUUAUUUAACAUAUUUCUACCAUAAGUAUUUGAGAGAAUUAUCUUACCAUUGAAUGGUUUUGACUUGGUCUCAUUGCAAUGAAUUGGCUGCAACCAUUCUCAAAUUGCCAACUAUACAAUAUCCUUUCAUUAUCCUAAUUAAUUCUCCCAUUAAUCAUUAGCCAAUUACUUAUCUGACCGUUGGAGGCUUUGUGAUAUUGACAUAUAAAUGUGGUCUUCCUCUAUCACAAAUGAGAUAGAACGCAAUACAUAUUAGAGAGUAAAUCUUUCUUCCUAUAUUCUAUUGGUGUGUUGGGUUUUGUUCUUUGAAUCUUUGUUAGUUUCUGGCUCCUAGUUUUAUACUAGAAGCUUGUUGAAUCCUGGGGGAUGUGAAAUAUCCUCAAGGACAUUGUCUUUCGACACGCCUCAAGCUAUGAGAAUUUCCUACAAAGUUCAUGGAGAAGUAUAAAUCUUGGUGAACUCCAUAUCAAGUGUUCGUGAUGAAGGUAUUUUCCGUAAGAUUUACAACAUAAGCUACUAGUGUUAUACGUUCCAAAAACAGCCAAAGGGCUUAUUCAUACUCUUAACUGAAAUGACUGCUAUUUCUGUUCAUCACUACAAUAAUCAAGAACUAUAAGAGUUUUGUUUAAAAGUAAUCAUGACUCAGGAGCUAUAAGCAAAAGCUUCAUUUAAAUGGCUUACACAGACUAUGAAAAGCCAUGAAGUUGAACCAUCAAUAGCAUCUAGUAAUGUUCGUAUUCUAACAAAUAUGGCAGCAACAACUAUCUCUAUGUCUAAUUAAGCAGAUAGGAGCUAGAUUAGCCAAUCUUCAGACUGUCCGACACACCAUUAUUUCUAUUUAAAAAUCUGCAGAGACAUCUCGCCCACACCACAAGAAUAGCUUUCUUGGCUGGAGUUAUAGUAAUUUCUAUGGGAAAUCUUCUUUUAUCAACACAAUAUUGCCCUCAAGAAAAGCCUUUGGUACUUCUGAAUUCCAUACAUGUGAAUGACUAUCAAAAAAAUCAAACAUAAUAC